rnacentral:lncRNA from 1 species
GUCGCCUGUAUAGUCUACUUUAUGUGACCUCUAUGUCUAACUCAUGUGACCUCUAUAGUCUACUUUAUGUAACCUGUAUAGUCUACUUUAUGUAACUGUAUAGUCUUUACUUAUGUAACUGUACAGUCUACUCUAUAGCUAACCUGUAUAGUCUACUUUAUGUAACUGUCGU